AGGAAGGGUAGGAAAGCAUUCGAGUCGCAGGGCUGUUUCCUCUCCACUGUAUUGCAUCGUGCAAAGGGCAAGGAGGGGGAGAUUAAAGCAGCUCUGUGGUAGAUAGAAAAGGCUUAGAGAAGCAGAGGCUUUCUGCUGCCUGACCCUCACAUCAGGUAUUAAGACUCUACGUGGGGAGAUGGACAUUUUUGCUGACGUACCCAGCUAACCAGCAGGAGUCAGAAUAGCACAUCAGAGCCCCAGUUCUAGGAUCCCAGGAGAUACCUGAAAUCUUCUGACCUUCAAUGGAGAGAGAUUCUGCAGGAGAUUCCUACAAGCCAGCAAGAGGUAAGUGCUUUGCAAAUGGAGAAACUCACUCCACGGUCAGGAAGAGUCCAUCAGCACAGCUCCACUCGUCCAAGCAGCACGGACCAAACUUCCCUGAGCUAAGAUGUGUGACAAUUGUAACUCAAACCCUCCCAGCCAAAGGACUUCGUAUCAUCAGCACCCACCAGAGGCACAGGGAGCAGAUCUUAACACACCUGAGCUGAACUUUGCACGGGCUCUGAUGAAACUCAGCACGGUGAGCAUCACUUCACCCUUGUGUCAGGACACCAGUGUUUGCACUGAAUCUGUGGAUAACAGAAAGGUAUUACAGGAAUUUUCGUGUGGUUGCAUCUACCAAAAGCCCCUCGAAAGGCCACAAUCACGAGAACAUGUGGAAGGUCUCUGGGUCCAUGCUGCUGGGAUGCUGUAGGAAUGAGAACACAGCAUUGCUGGGGUGCCUUUAUGGGGCCUUCAGCCCGUAAGAUCCCUAUAUUGCAAAACACCACAUUCCUCAGCUCUGACAGAGCCUCUUUUAUCUCAGCUGCAGAUUCCUGAGUCAAAAUCGCUGCCAGAUGACUGUGCACAGUGAGUUAAUGGCCACAAACCUGAGCGCCUCUUGCCUGGAGUCAUUUAUCCAUAGCAUCAAUGACGUUAUCCCGUUCAGCCCAUAUUUACUACAGCUACAAACUGAUUCAGAGAAACCUGGAGUACAGGAUUAAUCAUUACUCUUGGGAUGUUGAAAAUGGAUACCAGAACGGACUUCCAAAUUAGGUAUCUAAAAGUCCUGCAUCUCCCAGGAGAGCCCCAUUACAUCUCUCUCUUCGUUCUAAUGGAAUCUAUAGCAUGUGAGCACAGCUUGCCUCCCACAGGCCCUCCCUCGCAAUUAGCCCCCAGCUCAGAUUGCUGCUCUCCAUAAUGACUGGAGAACCACUUUCUUCAGGCCACAGAGAUGUACAGAGGAAAUGCUUAUUGCAAAAUGCAAGUCAACCACAGCCAGUGGGUCUGGGCCAUGGUGGAGGGAUACAGAAAUGGCUUCUUCUUCUUCUUCUUCUUUUUUUUUUUUUUUGCCUCAGAAAUAGAACUCACUAAAAAUAGCAGUUCCUCAGGAACAAGACUGCCUGAAAAUAGCUGUUUCUCAGGAGCAGGGCUGGCUGCUUCUGAAAGAGGCAGCUAUUAAUGUAUAAUUGUCCCUGAGGCUGGUUUCUGAGAAAAUGCUGUACAUACAGAAGGCUGUAAUGAGAUAUGUUCACAGGCAGGAAACAUAGGCACCCGCUCUUGUCACAGGUCCUGGACGCUCCUCUAGCUCACACAAGUGCAUGUGGCUCACCGAGCUCAGCACAACACUGGGACGUGUUUUCUCUGUACUAGUUAAAGCAGAGCUGUGGGACGCUCUCAUUAUCUAGACCAGUAAAUGACAAACCCCCCCACCAGCUCUAACCAAAAUGACAGCAGAUCCAGCUUUGAAACUCCACCGUUCUCCUUCCACACCAGAGCUUCGUUGAGCUGCAGACCGUGCAAUGUACUUCUAAUUCCCUGUUCUACUCAGCGCUUACAGCUUUCCCAUGCAGUUGCUACAAGGCCAUAAAUCUUCUGGAGAAUGGCCCUACAUUUCCACCACUCCAGCGCUGCCUAAUAAUAAGGAAAGAGUAAUUGCUUUCGGGGCUGAUUGGUGGGUUGGUUAUUCCCUAAAAUGUCCCACUCCUCUCUCCCAGCUCACUGUGCCCCAUCCCUGGAGGCAUUCAAGGCCAGGCUGGAUGUGGCUCUGGGCAGCCUGGUCUGGUGGGUGGUGACCCUGCACAUAGCAGGGAGUUGAAACCAGAUGAUCACCAUGUUCCUUUUCAACCCAGGCCAUUCUAUGAUCGUAUGGGUUGGCGCUGACAGCCAACCCCUGCACAGAGGCCAUCUCUUUUUCUCCUUUCCUUAUGGACAACUCCAGAUGAGCAAAAUAAGCAGGGGUUACAAAAGAUCCAGAGCAGGUAUAUUUUGCAAAGCAGCAGCUUUAAUGAAACAGAUGAGGUACAGGGGGCUCUGCCUGAUUGCUCUCAUCAUUUCACUCCUACAACACCAGUGCUAGAAUCCAUAGUCUCUCGUGUUGAAAGCAUGCUUGAAUCCCAAAGGCUGGGUGGGAGUGGGCUGCAUCAUCACUGGAUGGAAAUCUAUAGACUGCUUCUUCCGGGCUGUGUUUUUAAUGUUUCUUCGAGUCGUAUCUCUCCUCAGCUCACUAAUGAGCCGAUGCUGUAACAUCCUGCUAACAGCAGAAGCAGCCUUCUGGAGGAAUUGUAAGGCCACUGAGGAGCCCAAGGCAGUUCUUUCAGCUCGAGAAAUUACUCUCUUUGUCCUGACCAAAUUCCAGCAGAAGUAAUGGCACUCUGUCUGCAAUUACAGCAGGCUGUGAUUUUCGUUAUGGAAACUACCUUUAGUGCCGUGAACUGAUCUUCCCCUUCCCUGCUGCUGAGUGGUAUUGUUGGUAUUGUUACGUAAUCUGAACUGCAAACAUAAAAUGAAACAUCUAUAAUAUACGUGC
rnacentral:lncRNA from 7 species